ensembl:lncRNA
CGCCGGUGCCCAGGAGGGAGUCUGCACAGAGCUGACUUCGGGCAGCUGCCUCGGAUGUUUGGGUGGCCAACCUCCUGCAGCCUGAGGGGAAGCCAGGCACAAGUAGGCCAGCACCGUCCCGUCCCUCUGCAGAAGCGCCAUCGGGGAGGAAGCCACAGAGCCACACCAGCCUCAGGAAUGGGGACAACACAGUGCUGAGGGGAGGGACACGCAGUGCUGCCAUCCCCAUGCUGGAGACGGUGGGUUCCACCCGGGGGAUGGAGCCAGCGGCCUGGCACCCGGCAUGCUACAGAGCCAGUGUUGCACCCACGGGUGCCAAGGAUGCCCCUCCACACCGGGCACCCCCAGGUCGCCAGGCCAUGUGCUGAGCCACCUCAGGACAGGCAACUGCCAGCCGAGACUGGGCCUCUUCCCCAUGCCAGACUGCAGGCUCCAGGGCAGGCAUGAACCCCCAGCAACACGGAGCCCUUGAACCCUGCCGAGCCUGGCUGCCAGGGUCCAGCAGAUCCAUCCCAGGAGACUUCGGAAGAACAAGACCUCAGGCCUGAGCCUGCUGUGGCCUUCAGGAGACACCAGAUCCGCAGUAACCAUCGGGAGCUGCUGGUGGCAUUCUGUGUCCUCCGAAUGAAGACUGCUCCACUCUCUGAAGCGACCUCAAGGACAAAGAUCAACUGGCCCCUCUCGUGUGGCAGCAACAGAAUUCAGUUUGAGAAAAGCAAAGCGUGUUUUCGCAACAGCAACUACAAAGUGUCAUGCAAUCAUGCGACAAUAUGGUGUCUCCCUGCACUGACCAGAAAAUGACUUCUGGAAUAUAACGUGGGGACAGGAGACACCCAUGAGAAAGGACAGCAUACUCCUUCCCUCAGCGGCGACAGUGGCUCCUAGGACCCAGUCUGGCCUGGGGAAGCCACCACUCACCAGUAGGAAGAAAAGUGGAGAGAAAAGGAGCCGGGUUUGGAGAGUGACUGGCCACGCCCACCUCAGGUGCAGCUGCAGCUCUGGCCCUGAGCCAUUUGCUGUAGCAGGGCCAGGACCUGUAGGCCGAUGGUCCCAGGUCUGAGGCAGACAGCACUCGGGGGCAUCUUGUCCUAGAAAGCAGAAGCCACCACGAAUCCCAGGACCACACAGAGAGAUGGGACAGCUUGUUGUGGCUUCCAGUGGCCAGAGGAGGCCCAUGAGGGUCACAUUACAGAGAUUCCAAACCGCGAACCCCAUUCCGCCAUGGGGAGAGGUUCCUACCCUCAUCCCGGGGGAUUCUGGGAGGCCAGCCAUGCAACACCCUUCCCUGCAGUGUGACCAGCAGUGACCCUGGGGCCCUGCUCCCUCCGGAGUAUCCAGCUCACCACGGAAGGGAACAGAAUGCAGAUGGAUCCUGGGUCAGUUCCUGGGGCACAAUAGGCUGAGCAUCGCAGGAGCACACCAAGCCCCGGAGGAGAGCGACAGGAAUGCACCCAAGUCUGAGGCAGUCUGGCAGCACCAAGCCAGGGGAGGGGUGCCUGUGUCCACUUGCCCGAGCAUGGGCCACCUGGACAGAGGGCAAGCUGAGGGGCUCCACUCCAUCAUGGGCGGAAGGGCAGCAGAAAGGUGAAAGUGGAGGAGAACCCAGAAGGUCUCAGGGAUCCAGAAGAUGAGGACAAACUGCAGCACCUGUGGCCAAGUCUGUGUGCGUGGCCUGGUACCCAGAGCAGGGCAGGCGGGGGCCACCGAGGGUGUACAGCUUCACCGUAGGAUGAUGGAGCCCUCCAG